rnacentral:rRNA from 1 species
CCUUCAUGAAGCUGGAAUUGCUAGUAGUGGCAGGUCAGCAUACUGCCGUGAAUACGUUCCCGGGCCUUGUACACACCGCCCGUCACACCAUGAGAGUUGGGAAUACCCGAAGCCUGUGAGCUAACUGUAAGGAGGCAGCAGUCGAAGGUAGAAUCAAUGAUUGGGGUGAAGUCGUAACAAGGUAGC